GACGAACGCUGGCGGCGUGCUUAACACAUGCAAGUCGAACGGAAAGGCCCUGCUUUUGUGGGGUGCUCGAGUGGCGAACGGGUGAGUAACACGUGAGUAACCUGCCCUUUACUUUGGGAUAACUUCAGGAAACUGGGGCUAAUACCGGAUAGGAGCUCCUGCUGCAUGGUGGGGGUUGGAAAGUUUCGGCGGUUGGGGAUGGACUCGCGGCUUAUCAGCUUGUUGGUGGGGUAGUGGCUUACCAAGGCUUUGACGGGUAGCCGGCCUGAGAGGGUGACCGGCGACAUUGGGACUGAGAUACGGAGCAGACUCCUACGGGAGGCAGCAGUGGGGAAUAUUGCACAAUGGGCGGAAGCGUGAUGCAGCAACGCCGCGUGCGGGAUGAAGGCCUUCGGGUUGUAAACCGCUUUCGCCUGUGACGAAGCGUGAGUGACGGUACUGGGUAAAGAAGCACCGGCUAACUACGUG
rnacentral:rRNA from 1 species